UACAGAGGUCCCAAGCGUUGUUCGGAUUCACUGGGCGUAAAGGGUGCGUAGGUGGUGGGGUAAGUCGGAUGUGAAAGCUCGGAGCUCAACUCCGAAAUGGCAUUGGAAACUACCCUGCUAGAGGAUUGGAGGGGGGACUGGAAUACUUGGUGUAGCAGUGAAAUGCGUAGAUAUCAAGUGGAACACCGGUGGCGAAGGCGAGUCCCUGGACAAUACCUGACACUGAGGCACGAAAGCUAGGGGAGCAAACAGG
rnacentral:rRNA from 1 species